AACAACCAGGAACAGGCUGGGAUGCGCCAGUGGAAUUAGAGCAACCCCGAGCACAGCCACGCCAACGCCAAGCCACUCAGCCACCACCACCCGGCCACCUCACGAGCGGAGUUAGACGGUGUUCCAGGAGGAAGAGGAGCGCACGUGGUUCUGCUCACAUGAAGGUAUUAGUCCGGAACAUCGCUGCCAUGGCAUGGGUCAACGCCAUCGCGCAUAGAGAACUGGGCUGCAUCCAUGUAUGCGUAGGCGUGUAGGAUAUUUGUUCGGCAGCACGGUUAAAUACAAAAAAUCCAUUCGUCAAAUUGACCGAUAACACGGUACAAAUUCCACAAACAAAGU
rnacentral:lncRNA from 1 species